UAAACUAGGAUUAGAUACCCUAUUAUUUUAAAUGUAAAUUUUAAAUACUAAAUUAGUAUUAGUUAUGUUCUUGAAAAUUAAAAAAUUUGGCGGUAUUUUAGUCUUUUCAGAGGAACCUGUCCUGUAAUUGAUAAUCCACGAUUUAGGAUACUUUAUUUAUUAGUUUGCAUAUCGUCGUAGAUAGAAUAUUUUAAAAGAAUAAUAAUAUUCUGGAUUUUAAAUUAAAAAAUAAAUCAGAUCAAGGUGUAGUUUAUAAUAAAGAAGAGAUGGGUUACAAUAAAUUUAUUUAAGGAUAAUUUUUAGGAUAAAAUUUUGAAUAUGGAUUUGAAAGUAAUUUUAUUUAAUUAAUUAAGAUGAUUUUAGCUCUAGAAUAUGCACACAUCGCCCGUCGCUCUUAA
rnacentral:rRNA from 2 species